rnacentral:rRNA from 1 species
UACAGAGGGGGCAAGCGUUGUUCGGAAUUACUGGGCGUAAAGGGCGCGUAGGCGGCCUGUUAAGUCGAACGUGAAAUCCCCGGGCUCAACCCGGGAACUGCGUCCGAUACUGGCAGGCUUGAAUCCGGGAGAGGGAUGCGGAGUUCCAGGUGUAGCGGUGAAAUGCGUAGAUAUCGGGAGGAACACCUGUGGCGAAAGCGGCGCACUGGACCACAACUGACGCUGAGGCGCGAAAGCUAGGGGAGCAAACAGG